GCCCGGGUGGUGAAAUCGGUAGACACAAGGGAUUUAAAAUCCCUCGGCCAUUAGGCUGUGCGGGUUCAAGUCCCGCCCCGGGCA
rnacentral:tRNA from 2 species